rnacentral:rRNA from 1 species
AGAGUUUGAUCAUGGCUCAGAUUGAACGCUGGCGGCAGGCCUAACACAUGCAAGUCGAACGGUAACAGGAAGCAGCUUGCUGCUUCGCUGGACGAGUGGCGGACGGGUGAGUAAUGUCUGGGAAACUGCCUGAUGGAGGGGGAUAACUACUGGAAACGGUAGCUAAUACCGCAUAAUGUCGCAGGACCAAAGAGGGGGACCUUCGGGCCUCUUGCCAUCAGAUGUGCCCAGAUGGGAUUAGCUUGUUGGUGAGGUAACGGCUCACCAAGGCGACGAUCCCUAGCUGGUCUGAGAGGAUGACCAGCCACACUGGAACUGAGACACGGUCCAGACUCCUACGGGAGGCCAGCAGUGGGGAAUAUUGCACAAUGGGGCGCAAGCCUGAUGCAGCCAUGCCGCGUGUAUGAAGAAGGCCUUCGGGUUGUAAAGUACUUUCAGCGGGGGAGGAAGGGGAUAAGGCUAAUAACCUUGUUCAUUGACGUUACCCGCAGAAGAAGCACCGGGCUAACUCCGUGCCAGCAGCCGCGGUAAUACGGAGGGUGCAAGCGUUAAUCGGAAUUACUGGGCGUAAAGCGCACGCAGGCGGUCUGUCAAGUCGGAUGUGAAAUCCCCGGGCUCAACCUGGGAACUGCAUUCGAAACUGGCAGGCUUGAGUCUUGUAGAGGGGGGUAGAAUUCCAGGUGUAGCGGUGAAAUGCGUAGAGAUCUGGAGGAAUACCGGUGGCGAAGGCGGCCCCCCUGGGACAAAGACUGACGCUCAGGUGCGAAAGCGUGGGGAGCAAACAGGAUUAGAUACCCUGGUAGUCCACGCCGUAAACGAUGUCUACUUGGAGGUUGUGCCCUUGAGGCGUGGCUUCCGGAGCUAACGCGUUAAGUAGACCGCCUGGGGAGUACGGCCGCAAGGUUAAAACUCAAAUGAAUUGACGGGGGCCCGCACAAGCGGUGGAGCAUGUGGUUUAAUUCGAUGCAACGCGAAGAACCUUACCUGGUCUUGACAUCCACGGAAGUUUUCAGAGAUGAGAAUGUGCCUUCGGGAGCCGUGAGACAGGUGCUGCAUGGCUGUCGUCAGCUCGUGUUGUGAAAUGUUGGGUUAAGUCCCGCAACGAGCGCAACCCUUAUCCUUUGUUGCCAGCGGUCCGGCCGGGAACUCAAAGGAGACUGCCAGUGAUAAACUGGAGGAAGGUGGGGGAUGACGUCAAGUCAUCAUGGCCCUUACGACCAGGGCUACACACGUGCUACAAUGGCGCAUACAAAGAGAAGCGACCUCGCGAGAGCAAGCGGACCUCAUAAAGUGCGUCGUAGUCCGGACUGGAGUCUGCAACUCGACUCCAUGAAGUCGGAAUCGCUAGUAAUCGUGGAUCAGAAUGCCACGGUGAAUACGUUCCCGGGCCUUGUACACACCGCCCGUCACACCAUGGGGAGUGGGUUGCAAAAGAAGUAGGUAGCUUAACCUUCGGGAGGGCGCUUACCACUUUGUGAUUCAUGACUGGGGGUGAAGUCGUAACAAGGUAACCGUAGGGGAACCUGCGGUUGGAUCACCU